UUUCUAGCAUAUCUAGGAGGGCACUGACACAGGAAAAGGUUAGGGACAAAUCGGAGGGAAGCAAAAUGACAAGCAAGGCCUUGGUGGCCCAGAGUGGCAGCCAGGCUGGCUUCAGCCCAGCUGGAUCCUCUCAGAACUGGACAAUAGUGGAGGGAGAGCCUGAGAACUGCUGCCCACCCUGGGGCUCAAACUGUCUUGGAGUCAGGGGCCUGGUCUGGUGGGUUCUGCUUCCUGCUAUCCCUCAGAGGGCCUGGCUGGAGUCAUGCUGGGCACACAAGAGGCUCUUAAUCAAAUCUGGUCAAUUCCUUAUUUCCCUCUACCUGCAUCCAAAACAGAAUUGCAGCAGGGACAAAUGGAAGCUGGAGCCCUGUAAUUCUUUAUUCAGCAACACACCAAAUGUCAUCUAGGUGGUCCUCCCGUCUGAGCCCAGGGGUGGAGAUAAAUGGAGGGGCUCCAUGGCAUGGGAGUCAGUAUCCUGGGAGCAGGUGAAAAUGGAGUUAGUGUCACAUUGCAGCUGAAGAGGUC
rnacentral:lncRNA from 1 species